rnacentral:rRNA from 1 species
UGGGGAAUUUUGCACAAUGGGGGAAACCCUGAUGCAGCGACGCCGCGUGAUUUAGAAGGCCUUCGGGUUGUAAAAAUCUUUUCUAUGGGAAGAAAAUGACAGUACCAUAGGAAUAAGGACCGGCUAAUUACGUGCCAGCAGCCGCGGUAAUACGUAAGGUCCGAGCGUUGUCCGGAAUCAUUGGGCGUAAAGGGUACGUAGGCGGGUAAGCAAGUUAGAAGUGAAAUCCUAUAGCUCAACUAUAGUAAGCUUUUAAAACUGCUCAUCUUGAGGUAUGGACAGGAAAGUGGAAUUCCUAGUGUAGCGGUGAAAUGCGCAGAUAUUAGGAGGAAUCCCGGUGGCGAAGGCGACUUUCUGGCCAUAACCUGACGCUGAGGUACGAAAGCGUGGGUAGCAAACAGG